UGGGCCAUAGCCAAGCGGUAAGGCACCGGAUUUUGAUUCCGCCAUGCCCAGGUUCGAAUCCUGGUGGCCCAGCCA
rnacentral:tRNA from 1 species